AAUAGAUACCCGGGUAGUCCACGCCGUAAACGAUGAGUGCUAAGUGUUAGAGGGUUUCCGCCCUUUAGUGCUGCAGCAAACGCAUUAAGCACUCCGCCUGGGGAGUCCGGCCGCAAGGCUGAAACUCAAAGGAAUUGACAGGGACCCGCACAAGCGGUGGAGCAUGUGGUUUAAUUCGAAGCAACGCGAAGAACCUUACCAGGUCUUGACAUCCUCUGACCAUCCUAGAGAUAGGACCUUCCCCUUCGGGGGACAGAGUGACAGGUGGUGCAUGGUUGUCGUCAGCUCGUGUCGUGAGAUGUUGGGUUAAGUCCCGCAACGAGCGCAACCCUUGUUCUUAGUUGCCAUCAUUUAGUUGGGCACUCUAAGGAGACUGCCGGUGACAAACCGGGAGGAAGGUGGGGAUGACGUCAAAUCAUCAUGCCCCUUAUGACCUGGGCUACACACGUGCUACAAUGGAUGGUGCAAAGGGCUGCAAGACCGCGAGGUCAAGCCAAUCCCAUAAAACCAUUCUCAGUUCGGA
rnacentral:rRNA from 1 species